CAGCCUGAAAUGAUGAUAUGAAUUCAUGUCUCUUCUCUGAUAUACACAAUGGAGACACUCAAUUGCACAUCUGAUCAGGUUC
rnacentral:snoRNA from 1 species